GACGAACGCUGGCGGCAUGCCUAACACAUGCAAGUCGAACGAUACCUCCGGGCCUAGUGGCGCACGGGUGCGUAACGCGUGGGAAUCUGCCCUUGGGUUCGGAAUAACUCGCCGAAAGGCGUGCUAAUACCGGAUGAUGUCGUAAGUCCAAAGAUUUAUCGCCCAUGGAUGGGCCCGCGUAGGAUUAGCUAGUUGGUAGGGUAAAGGCCCACCAAGGCGACGAUCCUUAGCUGGUCUGAGAGGAUGAUCAGCCACACUGGGACUGAGACACGGCCCAGACUCCUACGGGAGGCAGCAGUGGGGAAUAUUGGACAAUGGGCGAAAGCCUGAUCCAGCAAUGCCGCGUGAGUGAUGAAGGCCUUAGGGUUGUAAAGCUCUUUUACCCGGGAUGAUAAUGACAGUACCGGGAGAAUAAGCUCCGGCUAACUCCGUG
rnacentral:rRNA from 1 species